GUUCCCGCCCGUGCCGGAAGCCUCGGCGCGGCAGCGCGACACGAGGCUCCCCAGACCCAGCCGGGCAGUGCCGCUAGCGAGGCGGGCAGAGCUGCCCGGGUGGCACCCCGCGCACCCUGUGUUCCGGAGGCACCGUGAAGAAGCCCUCCUUACGAAUACACUUCAGACGGAUCUGCUCGCACUCCAGAUCUGGCUCCGCCAUGCCGAGCGCUGGCCCCGCCUCUCUUGCGCGCAGGCGCAGACGCGGACGGCCCCGCGGCGCAGGCGCGAAAGCUCCUUCCCGGGCUUCCUCUCCUUAGCAACGGUUACCAAGAGACGCUCCCGCGGGUCCGCCCUAGGCGCUGGGCUCCAGGGAUCGGCUCCGACUGCUGCAGUUCGGGCCUUAUUUUAGGGUGAAGCCCGGGCAGCCGACCCGGCUGCGCCGUAGUGGGAGGCCACGGCGAUUACCCAGGUGAAGGUCUUCCAGUACCUCGCAAGGGUUUUUUGCAUGUCUGAUACCUACGGCUCCAACAGGACCCACUGACUGAUGAUGGCUCCACCUGGACCUGCCAACUACUCCUGCAGCCCCACCCAGAAGCGGUUCAGCACACGGGAGGAUCCUGUCUCACACCCUACGAUGGCCCCCCGCCCCCACAACCCAUCAGCAGCAAGCACCCACUGCCAAGCUACCCCACCCCUUCCCCCAAACUACCUUUGGAACACCCUAGUCCCCAAAUUCUUGGGGAGACUGAUUUCAGUAAUCAUCAAAUUCUGGUCUCCCAUUCACUUGUCUCUGUGUGAAUUAAACCCUUUCUCUAUUGCA
rnacentral:lncRNA from 1 species